AUGCCUCUCGCUCUCGGGCUCCUAAUAGCAGCUCCUGAUAUUCUCGCUGCUUGCCAGGGACUGUGCCCUCCGCUAGAGAGCGCUAUUGGACCGUUUUCGCGCAUCCAACCCUCUCACUGCAGUCCCCACGCUCUAACAUUGACUGUCUCGCCGCAAAAGGCGCUUCGAGCAGCAUUGGAUCGAGUAACCAUGUCAGGCGUUUCCUCAGACACUCUGCGCGAUUCAGCCUUCAGAAUCCGAGGAACGCUACAAGGGUCUGGCAAAGACGGCCCGUUUAUGACGGCUCAUACAGCCGCCGCUUUUUCGCUAGCGGCAGAGCCCGAUGUUCAUCUUGUUGGAUUAAUUCCUGCCGUGGACACGCUUCAGGAUUAUACACAACGAGAUGCAACGGAUUUGACGCACGCGCUUCCCCGGCUUACGGACGCCGCGAGCUUUCCGUAUUCGGGCAUGUUAACGCGUAUGAAAACGCUGAAAAAGGCGGAAACCUUGAAACCACUGACGCUAUUUCGGGCCGCGUGGGAACGCUUGCCCGGCAUUUCGCAAUGGGUGUUACGCACGAUUCGUCUCGGAUACACCAUUCAGUUUCGAAAAGGCCCGCCUCCUUUCCGCGGAAUUCUUCCCACGGUUGUGAAACCAGAGGAAGUCGCGGUGCUGCGGCAAGAAAUGACAGCUCUGCUGAAGAAAGGGGCUAUAGAAGAAGUACACCCCUCUCAGAUGGAGUCAGGUUUUUACAGCCGCUAUUUUGUUGUACCAAAAAAAGGGGGCGGUUUGCGACCCAUAUUGGAUCUACGCCGUUUGAAUCUUGCACUCAGGACGAGCAAAUUCAAGAUGUUAACGGUAAAGUCCAUUUUGUCUCAGAUUCAACCAAACACUUGGUUUGUCACGAUCGAUCUGAAGGAUGCAUAUUUUCAUAUUCAGAUCAUCAAGAGACACAGGAAGUUCCUCAGAUUCGCUUUAGAGGGCAAAGCGUAUCAAUACCGUGUUCUUCCGUUCGGCUUAGCCCUGGCUCCCCGAACUUUUUCAAAAUGCAUGGACGCAGCUCUGGCCCCGUUGCGGCUCCAGGGCGUUCGUGUGUUGAAUUACUUGGACGAUUGGCUGGUGCUAGCUCAAUCACAGACUCAAGCACUCUCUCACCGAGAUUUAGUGCUGAAUCAUUUAAGAAGCCUGGGCUUAUGCACGAAUUUCCAGAAGAGUGUUUUAAUCCCCUCUCAACGGAUAACCUUUCUGGGAAUAGAUUUGGACUCUCGCGCGAUGACAGCCAGACUAUCUCUCCCGCGCGUUCAGUCUCUCACGUCAUGCGUGCGUCACUUCAAAGUAGGCCGCACAGUGACGGUGAGUUUGUGUCUCAGGCUGUUAGGUCUGAUGGCAGCGGCAUCCCCUGUAAUUCGUCUGGGCUUACUUCACAUGCGCCCUUUUCAGUGGUGGACGAAAAGUCAGAACAUUUCACCCCGUUGUUUUCCGCAUCGUACGAUUUCGGUGACACGGAGGUGUGUUAUGUCAAUAAAACAGUGGAUGUCAACCGAGUUCCUUCUAGCCGGAGUUCGGCUGGGGAUUUGUGCUUCCCGAGAGACUGUCACGACGGACGCGUCUUUGACCGGUUGGGGAGCUGUUUGUCAAGGGCGCCCAGCUCAUGGAGUGUGGACAGCGACACAACGCGGUUGGCACAUAAACAGGUUGGAACUACUGGCAGUUUUUCUAGCUCUCCAGUAUUUCUCAAAUCUGCUGACCGGCCGUCAUGUACUACUCAGGUCAGACAACAUGGCGGUUGUGUCAUACCUGAAUCAUCAAGGAGGGUUACGCUCUCGCCCCCUGUGCAGGCUNNNNNNNNNNNNNNNNNNNNNNNNNNNNNNNNUUUGA
ensembl:lncRNA